GGAUGAACGCUGGCGGCGUGCUUAACACAUGCAAGUCGAACGGAAAGGCCRRWGCUUGCWYYGGUACUCGAGUGGCGAACGGGUGAGUAACACGUGGGUGAUCUGCCCUGUACUUUGGGAUAAGCCUGGGAAACUGGGUCUAAUACCGAAUAUGACMAYKKYUUGGAUGSKRUKGUGGAAAGCUUUUGCGGUAUGGGAUGAGCUCGCGGCCUAUCAGCUUGUUGGUGGGGUAAUGGCCUACCAAGGCGUCGACGGGUAGCCGGCCUGAGAGGGUGUACGGCCACAUUGGGACUGAGAUACGGCCCAGACUCCUACGGGAGGCAGCAGUGGGGAAUAUUGCACAAUGGGCGCAAGCCUGAUGCAGCGACGCCGCGUGGGGGAUGACGGCCUUCGGGUUGUAAACUCCUUUCGCAAUCGACGAAGCCUUUKUGGUGACGGUAGGUUGAGAAGAAGCACCGGCUAACUACGU
rnacentral:rRNA from 1 species